AGUGAACGCUGGCGGUAGGCCUAACACAUGCAAGUCGAACGGCAGCACAGUAAGAGCUUGCUCUUACGGGUGGCGAGUGGCGCACGGGUGAGGAAUACAUCGGAAUCUACUUUUUCGUGGGGGAUAACGUAGGGAAACUUACGCUAAUACCGCAUACGACCUACGGGUGAAAGCAGGGGAUCUUCGGACCUUGCGCGAUUGAAUGAGCCGAUGUCGGAUUAGCUAGUUGGCGGGGUAAAGACCCACCAAGGCGACGAUCCGUAGCUGGUCUGAGAGGAUGAUCAGCCACACUGGAACUGAGACACGGUCCAGACUCCUACGGGAGGCAGCAGUGGGGAAUAUUGGACAAUGGGCGCAAGCCUGAUCCAGCCAUACCGCGUGGGUGAAGAAGGCCUUCGGGUUGUAAAGCCCUUUUGUUGGGAAAGAAAAGCAGCAGGUUAAUACCCCGCUGUUCUGACGGUACCCAAAGAAUAAGCACCGGCUAACUUCGUG
rnacentral:rRNA from 1 species